CAGUCGCCACGGUAACACAGAGGGUGCGAGCGUUAAUCGGAUUUACUGGGCGUAAAGCGUGCGUAGGCGGCUUCUUAAGUCGGAUGUGAAAUCCCUGAGCUUAACUUAGGAAUUGCAUUCGAUACUGGGAAGCUAGAGUAUGGGAGAGGAUGGUAGAAUUCCAGGUGUAGCGGUGAAAUGCGUAGAGAUCUGGAGGAAUACCGAUGGCGAAGGCAGCCAUCUGGCCUAAUACUGACGCUGAGGUACGAAAGCAUGGGGAGCAAACAGGAUUAGAUACCCCUGUAGUCCCUGUCUCUUAUAC
rnacentral:rRNA from 1 species